rnacentral:rRNA from 1 species
GAUUGAACGCUGGCGGCAUGCUUUACCCAUGCAAGUCGAACGGCAGCGCGGGCUUCGGCCUGGCGGCGAGUGGCGAACGGGUGAGUAAUGCAUCGGAACGUGCCCAGUAGUGGGGGAUAGCCCGGCGAAAGCCGGAUUAAUACCGCAUACGACCUGAGGGUGAAAGCGGGGGACCGAAAGGCCUCGCGCUAUUGGAGCGGCCGAUGUCGGAUUAGCUAGUUGGUGGGGUAAAGGCUUACCAAGGCGACGAUCCGUAGCUGGUCUGAGAGGACGACCAGCCACACUGGGACUGAGACACGGCCCAGACUCCUACGGGAGGCAGCAGUGGGGAAUUUUGGACAAUGGGGGCAACCCUGAUCCAGCCAUGCCGCGUGCGGGAAGAAGGCCUUCGGGUUGUAAACCGCUUUUGUUCGGGAAGAAAUCCUCUGGGCUAAUACCCCGGGGGGAUGACGGUACCGGAAGAAUAAGCACCGGCUAACUACGUG